AUUGAACGCUGGCGGCAGGCCUAACACAUGCAAGUCGAACGAGUGGCGGACGGGUGAGUAAUGUCUGGGAAACUGCCCGAUGGAGGGGGAUAACUACUGGAAACGGUAGCUAAUACCGCAUACCAUCGGCUGUGCCCAGCUGGGAUUAGCUAGUAGGUUGGGUAACGGCUCCCCUAGGCGACGAUCCCUAGCUGGUCUGAGAGGAUGACCAGCCACACUGGGACUGAGACACGGCCCAGACUCCUACGGGAGGCAGCAGUGGGGAAUGUUGGACAAUGGGGGAAACCCUGAUCCAGCCAUCCCGCGUGUGCGAUGAAGGCCUUCGGGUUGUAAAGCACUUUUGGCAGGAAAGCGGGACCUGAAGAAUAAGCACCGGCUAACUACGUGCCAGCAGCCGCGGUAAUUG
rnacentral:rRNA from 1 species